AUUGAACGCUGGCGGAAUGCUUUACACAUGUAAGUCGAACGAUGAACCUUAGCUUGCUAGGGGGAUUAGUGGCGAACGGGUGAGUAACAUAUCGGAACGUACCUAGUAAUGGGGGAUAACUAGUCGAAAGAUUAGCUAAUACCGCAUACGCCCUGAGGGGGAAAGUAGGGGAUCUUCGGACCUUACGUUAUUAGAGCGGCCGAUAUCUGAUUGGCUAGUUGGUGGGGUAAAGGCCUACCAAGGCGACGAUCAGUAGCUGGUCUGAGAGGACGACCAGCCACACUGGAACUGAGACACGGUCCAGACUCCUACGGGAGGCAGCAGUGGGGAAUUUUGGACAAUGGGGGCAACCCUGAUCCAGCCAUUCCGCGUGAGUGAAGAAGGCCUUCGGGUUGUAAAGCUCUUUCGCAAGGGAAGAAAACUUACAUUCUAAUAAAGUGUGAGGCUGACGGUACCUUGAUAAGAAGCACCGGCUAACUACGUGCCAGCCGCCGCAGUAA
rnacentral:rRNA from 1 species